CCUACGGGAGGCAGCAGUGAGGAAUAUUGGACAAUGGGCGCAAGCCUGAUCCAGCCAUGCCGCGUGCAGGAAGACGGUCCUAUGGAUUGUAAACUGCUUUUAUACAGGAAGAAACACCUCUACGUGUAGAGACUUGACGGUACUGUAUGAAUAAGCAUCGGCUAACUCCGUGCCAGCAGCCGCGGUAAUACGGAGGAUGCAAGCGUUAUCCGGAAUCAUUGGGUUUAAAGGGUCCGUAGGCGGUUUAAUAAGUCAGUGGUGAAAGCCCAUCGCUCAACGAUGGAACGGCCAUUGAUACUGUUAAACUUGAAUUAUUAGGAAGUAACUAGAAUAUGUAGUGUAGCGGUGAAAUGCUUAGAGAUUACAUGGAAUACCAAUUGCGAAGGCAGGUUACUACUAAUAUAUUGACGCUGAUGGACGAAAGCGUGGGGAGCGAACAGGAUUAGAUACCCUGGUAGUCCACGCCGUAAACGAUGGAUACUAGCUGUUCGGAGCAAUCUGAGUGGCUAGGCGAAAGUGAUAAGUAUCCCACCUGGGGAGUACGUUCGCAAGAUAGAAACUCAAAGGAAUUGACGG
rnacentral:rRNA from 1 species